AGAGUUUGAUCCUGGCUCAGAUUGAACGCUGGCGGAAUGCUUUACACAUGCAAGUCGAACGGCAGCACGGGAGCUUGCUUCUGGUGGCGAGUGGCGAACGGGUGAGUAAUACAUCGGAACAUGCCUAGUCGUGGGGGAUACCGUAGCGAAAGUUACGUUAAUACCGCAUACGUCCUGAGGGAGAAAGCAGGGGAUCGCAAGACCUUGCGCGAUUAGAGUGGCCGAUGCCUGAUUAGCUAGUUGGUGAGGUAAUGGCUCACCAAGGCGACGAUCAGUAGCGGGUCUGAGAGGAUGAUCCGCCACACUGGAACUGAGACACGGUCCAGACUCCUACGGGAGGCAGCAGUGGGGAAUUUUGGACAAUGGGGGCAACCCUGAUCCAGCCAUUCCGCGUGAGUGAAGAAGGCCUUCGGGUUGUAAAGCUCUUUCAGCAGGAACGAAACGGUACGCUCUAACAUAGCGUGCUAAUGACGGUACCUGCAGAAGAAGCACCGGCUAACUACGUGCCAGCAGCCGCGGUAAUACGUAGGGUGCGAGCGUUAAUCGGAAUUACUGGGCGUAAAGCGUGCGCAGGCGGGUUGUUAAGCAAGAUGUGAAAUCCCCGGGCUUAACCUGGGAAUGGCAUUUUGAACUGGCAGUCUAGAGUGUGUCAGAGGGGGGUAGAAUUCCACGUGUAGCAGUGAAAUGCGUAGAGAUGUGGAGGAAUACCGAUGGCGAAGGCAGCCCCCUGGGAUAACACUGACGCUCAUGUACGAAAGCGUGGGUAGCAAACAGGAUUAGAUACCCUGGUAGUCG
rnacentral:rRNA from 1 species